CGAAUUCUUUGUGAAGUGAAGGAAUUCACAAAUGUUGCAUGACCCACGUCGAUCACGGAUGAGCACUUGAAGCCUUUUUUUCGCAGGUGCAACGAGCUGACGGUGCAUCAGGGAUGUGUCAUGCUGGGCACAAGAGUAGUCGUCCCUGCAAAGCUGCAAGGGUUCGUUCUGGACUAACUCCAUGACGGCCAUCCCGGCAUCGUGCGCAGCAACGAACUAGCGCGCAGCUACGUGUGGUGGCCAACGCUGGAGGCGGACCUCGAACUUCGCAUCAAAAGCUGCGCUAGUUGUCAAGAGCAACGUAACGCGCCAAUCAGCGCACCUCUUCACCCGUGGUCAUGGCCGACUUCACCGUGGCAGCGUGUUCACGUAGACUUUGCAGGACCCUUUCAGAAUACCAUGCUUUUAGUAGUGGUCGACGCACAUUCCAAAUGGCCAGAGGUUUUCGAAAUGCGCUCGACAACUGCAGAAAGCACGAUUCGUUGUUUGACCGAGCUCUUCGCACGUUUUGGUUUCCCUGAAACAAUUGUUUCCGAUAAUGGACCUCAAUUUGUUUCGAAGGAGUUCAAGCACUUCGUGCAGGCAAUGGGGGCACGGCACGUCCUCACGGCUCCCUACCACCCCAGCUCCAAUGGGCUGGCAGAGCGUUUCAUUCAGACCUUAAAGAACGCCCUCCGCAAAGACGGCACAGGAGAGACACUGCAGUGCGUGCAACCACACAGAGGGGCACCUUCACCUGGCGUCGCCACCAGGAUCAGCUGCUGCACAGACCUGCAGAGGACGUUACCCCUACGCAUGGAAGAGCUGGCGAAGCUACGACCAGCGAGUUCCUGGUUUUUCCUGAGACUGGCGACUCACCAGUUCCUCCCACUCCACAACCGUCCAGGGAGACUCCGGUUACGCCACAGGCAACACCAGCACCCGCCGAGGCAAGACGCUACCCCAUGCGAAAUCGUCGCCCACCAGAUAGAUUCCAAGCUGGACUCUGAAUGACUUUGUGUGCGUUAUUAAAUAGGAGGGGAGGUGGUGUUGUGUCGGCUGGCGCUCCAUUGAUAAGAGCACUCUGCGAAGUGCGCAUGCGCCGCUAGGUGUUAAAAGCGGAGUGCCGCUUGCUAUCGGCGCUCUUUCUUGCCGUAGCCACGAACCCACAAGCAUGGGUCAAUAAACGUCGUUC